CGAGAAGGGUAUCAGCCUAAUUUAAUCAGUUAUAAUAUCAUAGUAAAUGGUCUUUGUAAAAUAGGUGAUACUACUCGGGCUAUUCUAUUGCUAAGGACUAUGGAAGAAAUAGGUUUUGCACCUGACCGUGCAACAUACAACACUGUCAUCGACGGCCUUUGUAAGGACAACAAUGUAACCGAGGCUUUGAAGCUUUUCUCAGAAAUGAGAGGUAAAGGCAUUCCACCAAAUGUUGUCACUUAUAAUUCCUUAAUUCAUGCUAUGUGUAAUUCAUGUCAGUGGAAGGAGGUUACAAGAUUAUUGAAUGAAAUGCUGGCGAACAACUGCAAGCCUGAUGUCUUCACAUAUAAUACUGUGGUUGAUGCCCUUUGUAAAGAGGGUAGGGUUGUAGAGGCUAAAAAUAUUUUUAAAAGAAUGAUUCAACAAGGUGUUGAGCCUAAUAUAGUUACUUAUAAUUCAUUGCUUGAUGGAUAUUGUUUGCGAGGUGAAAUGGAUGCGGCUAGAACAUUAUUCAAUUCAAUAACUAACAAGGGUUGUGUACCUGAUGAAUUUACUUACAGCAUCAUUGUCAAUGGAUAUUGUAAAGCUAAAAGGAUUGAUGAGGCAAUGGAACUCUUUCAUGAAAUGACUCGAAAUGAAUUAAUCCCGAAUGUUGUUACUUACAACACUCUUAUAGGUGGCAUGUCAAAGGUUGGGAGACUUGCAGUUGCACAAGAACUUUUCAAAGAAAUGAGUGCUCGUGGCCUAGUUCCAAAUGUGAUCACUUACUCUACUUUGUUGGAUGGCUUAUGCAAGUGUGGUCAUAUUCAUGAGGCAUUGGGAUUUUUUCAUGUAAUGCAGAAUAGUGGGUUAGAACCUACUAUUGUCCACUAUUCUAUCUUAAUUGAUGGCUUGUGUCAAGUUGGGCAACUUAAAGUUGCAAGGAAAUUAUUUUGUGCACUCAAAGUCAAAGGGAUACACCCUUGUGUUUACACAUAUAGUAUAAUGAUCAGAGAACUUUGUAAAGAAGGGCUGCAGAAUGAAGCAUAUGAACUGUUUAGUAAAAUGGAAUUGGAUGGUUGCAUGCCAAAUAGUUGCUGUUAUAAUGUGAUGAUUACAGGAUUUCUUCGAAACAAUGAAACAUCAAGGGGAGUACAAAUUCUUCAUGAAAUGGUUAACAAAGGAUUUUCUGCAAAUGCAUCUGUAGCCGUCAUGCUAGUGGAUCUAAUGUCUAGUGAUUCAACGGGUGAAUAUAUUCGUGCAGUAGUUCAGAAACUUUGAAGACUAUCAAGGUUCUAAUAUGGAGUGAUUUCUUCCCAGCCAAUAUUGGUGCAAUAAAUCCAAACAAGUUUUAGAAUCUGUAGGGGUUGCUAAUAAAUAUCUAAGCAGUCCCUAAUUCCAUCAUAUGAACUUCAUAGAAGGCAGUAUUUUACUCCUUGAUUAGGCAUUAGGCAGCAUGCAAGUAUCCUAUUAAAUUCAGGAAGAGGGCUGAUUUUGAAUUUUUCAGACUGCAGUUACUCUUUUUUCUUUUGCUUUUCUCUUCUCUUUUUUUUUUUUCCCUUCUAGGGCACCUAUAGGUAUAGCAGUGUUGGGCUCUAUUAAUGGUUUACCAUUCAUUUAGUUUUGAUAACCUUGCAAAACUUAUAAUAUUCUCCUUUGCGGAACAAAUGUCAAUGCUCAUUCAUCCUGCUUUAUGAUCAUAUUGUCUUUUCCUGGUGGUGUUUCUUUGGAACUGGAAGCAUUAGAAAGUUUUUGUUGUAAGUUUUGUUUCAUGGAAAUGAGGUAUUUGGUUUGAAUUGAAGUGAAUGGUAUAGAAUUUAAAUAAUUCUUUUUUAUUAACAUAAAUUUCCAUUUGACAUGCAUUUCCUAUACUCAGAUGGCGAAGUCACCAGAGCUAUAUCCUGUGGUGGUGCAGGAUUUCUGUUAAUAUUCCACCAUUUGGGGAACUGGCAUGGCUAGCUGCCUUGUCUGCUCUAACUGAGCAUCUUACAGGGAUAGGAUGACAUUGUUGAAUUGUAUGCACUGAAAUUCAAAAAAUUUCCCUGGAUCUAUUAUGAAUUGACAUGAUUCUAACAUAACACAUCUCUGUUUUCCUUUAUUCUCCUAAUUAUAUAAAUUUAUGUAGUUAUGUUCUUAUAAUUUUCCUUUCAAUUUUUCCUCUACUUUAUUGUUCCUAGUAAGGGACUUUGAAAAUUUUGAUUAAACUUCUUGCCCUGCAUUUUUCUCUUUUUGGUUAGUGUCAUUUCUUUUGUUUUACUUGCCUUACUCUUUGCUUAUCAUACUCAGACUUAUAGUACAACUUUAAUAGCAACAAAUGCACGCCAGAAACUACUUAUUUUUCUUAAUAUAAAUUUCAGAUCAAAGUGGACAUAAACAUAGGAUGGGAUUUAUAAAUGGAUCGCUGAAUUGUGGUUUUCCCUCUAUCAUUUCAUGAUCUGAACCUAUAAAAUCAUUUGUGUUUGCUUGCAGUGACACCACCUUAGGUGUUUACCAUGAUGAUUUUAAUACCUUCGUUAGUGAGACUGGGUCUGGCAAGCAUGUGCCAAGAGCUAUAUUUGUUGAUCUAGAGCCCACUGUCAUUGAUGAAGUUGGAGGAGGGACUUACAGACAAAUCUUGCACCUGGAGCAACUUAUUUCUGGCAAGGAAGAUGCUGCUAAUAACUUUGCUAGAGGACAUUAUACAGGUACAAGCAUCUUUUCUGCAUUUCCAAAGUACUAGCAAUUUUGUUAGAUUUGAUCACUGGCUCAAACUUCUUUGGUGUUGUAUACUGCAGUUGGUCAGGCAAUUGUGGAUCUUUGCCUUGACCAAGUGAGAAAAUUGGCUGAUAACUGCACUGGUUUCAAGGAUCUUUUGAAUUUAAUGCUGUUGGCAGUGGAACCAGUUUUGGCUUGGGCUCGUUGCUUUUGGAGCACUUGUCUGUAGAUUAUGGAAAGAAGUCAAAACUUGGCUUCUCCAUCUACCCUUCUCCUUAGGUAAUUUCUAGAAGACUUAAAGGAAAAGUACAGGUUUCUUUUUCCCCAUGCUUGAACUAUUAUGUGUGUGCAAUUCACUGAACGAUUAUCCCCAAUUGUGCAGGUUUCUACUGCUGUUGUGGAACCUUAUAAUAGCAUGCUCUCAACUCAUUCUCUACUUGAACACGAUGAUGCUGCUGUGCUUCUUGACAAUGAAGCUAUAUACAAUAUCUGUAGGAGAUCCUUAGACAUUGAAAGACAAACUUAUUGAAACUUGAACCACUUGAUAUCCCAAAUUAUCUCUUCUUUGACCACUUCAUUGACCACUUCAUUGAAGUUUGAUGGUGCCAUAAACAUGGACAUCGCAGAGUUUGGACAUUGCAGAGUUUCAGACUAACCUUGUGCCAUAUCCUUUUAUCCAUCCCAUGCUCUCAUCAUAUGCCCCAGUAAUCUCAGCUACAAAGGCUUACCGUGAGCAGCUAUCAGUUCCUGAGAUUACAAGUGCUGUUUUUCAACCAUCAAGCUUGAUGGCUAAAUGUGAUCCAAGGCCUGGGAAGUACAUGGCAUGCUGUUUAAUGUACUAUGGAGAUGUUGUACCUAAGGAUGUCAAUGCUGCUGGUGCUACCAUCAAAACUAAGUGGACUGUUCAGUUAGUAUAUUGGUUAGUAGACAUCUUUUACAUUUCAUUUCCAAAUAAUUAUGUAUAAGCAAUCUGAUUAUCAUUAUUACAUAGAGUUCGCCAAGGGGUUUGCCUUCGGUUUGUUAUCUGAAUGAUUGCGAUGCAUCUUUUAUUUCAGGUGCCCUACUGGUUUCAAGUGUGGUAUCAACUAUCAGCCACCCACUGUGGUACCAGCGGGUGAUCUCGCUAAGGUACAAUGUGCAGCAUGCAUGAUCAGCCACCCACUAUGGAUGGUUGGCAGAGGUUUUCUCCCAAAUUGACCACAAGUUUGAUCUCAUGUAUGCCAAGAGAGCAUUUGUUCACUGGUAUGUAGGUGAAGGAAUGGAGGAAAGUGAAUUCUCAAAAGCCCGUAAAGAUCUCGCUGCUCUCGAGAAAGACUAUGAGGAAGUUGGGGUAGAAGGUGCCGAAGAUGAAUAAGAACCAGAAGAUUACUAGAUCUAUAUUUCAUGAAAGCAGCAGCUAAUGGUCCAUCAUGUUCUUCAACUCAUUUCAGUUCAUCAGGUAUUCUUAUUGUUGUAAAUUUGUGCAUGUGUACUUCAUGUCUUGAAUUUGUCUACCUUUGAAUGUCUUUGCUCUGAACGUGGGUUGGUUUAAGUGUAGUUGUGAGAACCUAUAGUUUCUGUCCUAUAAGAUGUGGCCCCUUUCAAUGUCUAAUAAAGCUUCUGCUUUGUGCCAUGAUGUAAUAUAAUGCAAGUCAGAAUUUCCCAGAAAAAUAACAGAAAUAACUAGAAAGUAAAGAUUUCCCAAUUUUCUAUUUGGUGGGUGAUUAAAUAUUUUGCUACAAACUGAGAGGUAUGUAAUUGGAAACAGAAGUUUUCCAUUCAAGAAAAACAAUACUUAAAAAAAAAUUUUUUUGACUUGUCAAAAAAUUUUUAAUGAGUGUUUUUCUUUUAUAUGUAAUUACCAAUUUCGUUUAUUCAUCAAAUAAAUAACUUAACUAGAUGAGAACUUUACUAUUUUUUUUUAUUUCCUCUUAUAAAGAGAGACAGAAUUUAAUGAAAUUUUUAUUUGCAAUUUUUGAAGAUCGAUGUUAAAAAUGUUUCAUUAAAAAUUUUAAUCUAAAAUUGAAAUUCAUAAAUUAAACGAUCUUAGAUUAAAAGUUUUAUUAAAUCAUUUUUAAUAUUGAAUUUCACAAAUUUCAUUUAAAAAUUUUUAUGGAAAAAUAGCUAUCUUGACUUUUGAGUAAUUUUUUAAGAGGUCAAAAAUAAAUUAAUUAAUCAACUAUUUACUUAUAUUUUUGUAUUUAAGAUUGUUUAGAAUUGAAAUUUUAUUAUUAAAGCUAAAAUUUUAACAUUUUAUCAAAUUAUUGACUAAAGAUUUUUUUAAAAUCUAAUGUCUAAUAAUUCUAAUUAAUUUUUAUCAACAACAAAAUUUAUUGAUCAAUGGCUGUCAAUCUUGACAAAAUAAAAAAGGAUUUUGCUAAUGAUUAUCCUGAGAUAAUUUUUAAAAUUACAAGUUUCAAAGAGUGGGCAGCUGAUUCCCUCUUCCUAUCUUUUUUAUUUUUUUUAUUAUUAUUAUUUUUAUCCAUGUCAAUCUUACAAGUUUCUCUCUUCAAAAGCUUUAGCCUUUUUUUCAACCUUGAAGACUUCUAUCCUUAGAAUUGAGCAUUAACCUAGGAUAAUGUUUAUUGUUAGUAUAAAUUAUUAUUACAAAACUCUAUCCUUUAACAGUCAAAUAAUAUUAUAAUAUUAUAAAUAAUAUUUUAAUUAACUUUAAAAAAAGAUAUUAAUAGUAAAAUCUAAUUUGAAUUUACAAUAAAAUUUUGAUACGUGAAUAACAUGAUUAUGUGAGAGAACCAAAAUUAAAUUAUAUUACAUUAUAUAGUUAUUUAAACAAAUUAAAAUUUAUGUUGUCAAUUAUAAUUCAUUGCAAAAGAGAUUUUAUUUUAUUUUAUAAUAUUUUCAGUUUUCAAGUAUGGGUGAAACAUUUUUCUAAUGGAUCAUAAAAUUUUAUUAUUUUUUAUGCACUGAUUCACCAUAACUCAUUAUUAACUAAAAUUAAUUAUAUUAAUGUGUGUAUUUGAAAAUACUAUAGUAUUUAAUUUAGUAACCCAAAUGGCAUUUUAGUAAAUUGAGAUGAUCUGACCAAGUGUUAAAUUAAUUAAUCAAUUAUUGGAUAGAACAGCGAAAUGAUGUUCUUUCAAAUAUAAUGUUUGAAGAACAUUAUCUUCGCCUUGCAGUUUGAAUCAAUAAACAUCAGAUUCAUCUUGCAAAUUGGUAAUAAGAAAAUUUCUUGAUAAUUUUAAACACUUGACACCAAGAAUUAAGAAAAAAAAACUCAAAAACAAUAGACUUAAAAUUUUAAUAAAAUUAUAUAUUUAGUAAACAUUGUAUUUUAUAUUUCACAUGUUGAUAUAACAAUUUGACAUAAUAUUUUUUAUAUUUGAUACAACAUUAAUAUCAAUUUUAAUUUGUGGUAUCUUAUUUUUAUUUUGUAAAAGUGAAUUGAUUUUCUUCCUUUCUACCAUUGUUUCAAGCCGUUUUACUGUACUCAUUUGAAGAUCUUCUGGCUGCCGUAAGAGCUCAUCAACACCGUAUGACAACACCAAUGGUUUCAGAAGACUUUUGGUGUAAUAAGCCUGCAGAUUGACUUGGAGGGCAACUUAUGAGAUUGCAAUGCAAGAACAGAAAAUAAGCAAAAAAAAAAAAAAUCAAACUCAGAUAUUAAUCAAAUAUGUUCUCUACUAAUAAUACCAUCAAAGCUACAAAACUGAAAAUGUGCUUUAGAAUUUAUCUAGUAGUUAAAGAGGAGAAAGAAUGCUAGUAAUUGGAUUAAGUAAACAAAGGCAUAGUCUGUAGUGCAAGAGACAACUCAUGAUUCGAGUAUAAAUUUGAUGAUAGUUGCAUCUUAUAUCAUAGUUUAAAAUUUUCUUCUAUAACUCAGUUAACAAAAUAAUUUCUCAAAAACAAAUGCCAUAUUCGAGUAAAAGAUUACAAACAACUAAAUGAAGAAAUAAGAUAAAAAUGAAGAAUCACUAUAAGAUACCAUGCUAUUGUUUCUAGAACAACUAAUUACUUAUGACGAACAUUUACCAAACAUUCUGCAUCAAUAAAGAUUUCAAAAACUGAAAAUUUGAUUCUUCUUCAUUUUGGGAAGAGGAGGAAUAUGUGAGUAAACACUUCAAACUUCAGUAGUAUAUUUUUAUGACCUUUUUUUUUACAUACUAUAUUAUUAGAUCUGUAACUAAUACAUUCACCAAUUUGGUUAUUUUAAUGCUUUAACUUAUCCUAAACAAUUUUGAUUAGAAAAUGAAAAGAAGAAAAAACCAAAACAAAAACAAGUAUUUAACCAGCAAGGCAUGUUUACUGGCCUUGGAUAAUUGUUGGAGACUCCCAUAAUUAACUUGUGGUGUCAUAAGUAGAGGUGUAAUCGAGUCGAGUCAAGUCGAUACAGUGAGAAGCUCGAGUUCGGCUCUAAACUCGAGGCUCGAUACUCGAUUCAAACUCGAUCGAGUUUCAUUUUUCUAGCCCAAACUUGAUUCAUGAUCGAAAUCGAGCUAUUCGAACUCGCUCGAUUAAAGUCGAUUAAUAUGUUAAAAUAAACUCGAUUUUUAUAGUCGACAAUAACUCGAAUAUUUAUGCUCGAGCUCGAACUCGAAUUCAAGAUAUUUUAUUGAUUAAAAUAAUUAAAAAAUUUAAAUAUAAAAGCUCGAUUAGGCUUGCGAGCUACUCGAGCUAGGUAUAAGAAUACUCGAACUCGGCUCGAUCGAUAAGUCAAGCUACUCGAACUCGAGUUUGACUCGAUAAUAAUCAAACCGAAUUAGAGUUUUAUUCGAAUCGAACUCGAGUAGCUUGCGAGUACUAAUGUAUCAUUUAUACUCCUAAUCAUAAGUGAAUACACAUUAUCAGUAUUCAUUUUAGAAUAGCACAAUUGAGAACAUAAUACUCUAAUGGAUAAGAAAAUUCACCUUAAUUUUGUUUAAAAUGCAUGCAAAAUAACCAGCGCCUGUAAUAAUAAUUAUUCUCUUAAAGACUUUCACCAUCUACAUCUCUUACACCACAUCACACUAACACAUAAACAAAAAUAUUUUUCUUCCUUUGACUAUUUUCAUGUGUUACAUCUAAUAUCCCUAACUAGCUGAAUCCUAAGUCCUAACCUAAGGAAAGGCUCAAAUAUUUAAAGAUUGCAUGAACAAUUUUAAGAAAAUCCAAUUGUUAUUGCAUAAUAUCUUGAUUAUGUAUUUGCAAAUUACAUGACUGUCAGAAAGCAAAUAGCAUCAACUGAGUGGUGCGAGUGAAAAAUGAAUAAUUGACAAGUAUGAAAAGCUAGCGUCUAACUAUCAUUGAAUGCAUAUGCAAUAACAGAAAGAAGACAAAUACAAUAAAACAUAACAACCAAGCAUCUUCCCCCUAGCAAAAAGUUGAUAACCAUAUAUAAAUAUAGAAAUGCAACAAAUUAACAGUGAAGAAAAUAACAGAGAGGAAACUCAGUAGUAACAAUGGUAAAUGCUUAUCAAAUGUUAAUGGGAGCACAUACUUGCAGUUCAGGACUUAUGUCGUCAUUCAUGACUUCAACUAAUGUGAUUACAACUAUCUCAUGAUAUAGGUAUUGCAACUUCGGACAUAAGCCAACAGACAAUUGUUUAAUAGCAUUAAUAGCUGCCAAUUGAACCCAAGGAUGUGAAUCAUUUACUGACUCCAAAACCAUUGGCACUACCUCUUCCAGAUUUUCUAGCAUCAUCUGCACAAACAAGGUAAAAACAUAGGUGAAACUCAUUUGGAAGUAAAUGAAACAUCAGAACAAUCUUCUCAAAAUUAGCUCUACCUUCAAACCAAUAAGCAUGUCUAAAGGAAUUCUUUAUUAGAUUAACAACAGAGAAACUAUUUUACAUCAAAUACAAGAAAUGCAUAAAUGCUCAUCUAGAAUAAACAAUAUAUAUUGUAUAUAUGUGUAUAUAUUUAUUGUAUUUAUGUAUCAAACAUUAUCAAAUCUAAUCAAAUUAAUUAUGGCAGUUCCAAACCUUUGAAGUAAAUAAAACAUGUUAACAAUAUUAUCAAAAUAAACUCUCUCAUCCAACCAAUAAUAAUUAACAAACAAAGCAAGUCUUAAAUUUAACUAAUUAUAAGCAGAACAUAUAUCAUGAACUCUAUGAUAAUAAUAAGCGAAAUAAAUGCUGAUCUAAAAUAAACUGCUACAGAACAUUAAAUACGAUUAAAUCAAUUACUAACGUAACUUCAAACCUUAAAACAACCCUCUGCAAUUUUUGGAAUAACAAUGAGAGCAACAUGCCGCUGCUGCCAUAUAGAGGUACCCAACAAAUAUGAAAACAAGAGUAGAACCCACUGAAAGAUCGUCUUCUCACCCAACAAAAUAGACAACUUACUCAAACAUUUUUAGCUAAUAUAUAAUCACUCGUGCCCCAAAAAUUGUCAACCUCGUACUCAUCCUCAUCCACAUACUCAAUAUCAUAAAACAUAAACAUUAACUUAUCAAACAACCUCUUUAUAAAUUGUGGCUCCUUGCUUAUCUUCUUGGAUCCUUCUCCACCAAUGCAAUCAGGAAUUCAAUUGCCAAAUGUUUUAUGUCUACCUCUAAACUAUCAUCAACUGUGAUCUUCAACAUCAAUUGUAGUACCUUCUCUAAUUGUCUCUAAAAAAACCUUGGGUCAGUCUCUGCUAAUUUGAUUAACAACUGCAAAGAUUCCUCAGACUUUGAUUCUGACCCUGAAUUCAGAGCAUUAAUCAAAGACUUCAUCAUCGAUCGCAAUAAAUAAUCAAACCUAAUUGAGCAAUUUAAUCUUUCAUUAAAAUAUAUCAAAUUCUGAAACAUGAAUAUGAAACAAGAGAGUUAUAAAAUAAUAGCAAUUCUUUGUAAUGUAUUAUCAAAUGCAUUUAGUGCAAAUAUUUCAAUAUAAAAUCAUCCAAUCAAAUAAAUAAAGAAAAAAGAUUUCGAAUCAUAAUUGAGUGCGACCAACAUAUCAAUAAGAAGUCAGAGCCUUGAAUCACAUUUCAAGGAGAAAAAGAAUAACAAAGUUCAAACAAACAAGCCUAAAACUUAUAAAUUUUAUCAUUUUAACUACAAACUAAAUUAACAUGGUCAAAACUAUGUAUCAUUUUAAUCCUACACAAGAGUACAUCCAAGAGCAAUUUUUGUCCAUUAUUAAACCCUAAUUGAAUUGAAAUAUGAGCAAUUAAAGUCAUAUAAAGUGUUAAACUUUUUUUAUUAAUUGACCAUAUGAGCUAUUAUUGUUAUACUAAACAAAAUUAUUUAAAUGAUAGUAUGAGGUUAUCAUUGGUCUACUUUAACAAAUAAUCCGUUAAUGGCACAAAAGGUCUUGCAAAAAUUUAUCAUACAUAUACAAGAUAAUACAUUUACAAUAAAAUAUUAUUAGUUUUAAUGAUAGAAUUUUACAUUUGAUCUUGGCCUUCUUAGUAUAAUUCUGUCCGUUUUGUAGAAAAUUUCUCUAAUCGAAGCACUUUUACGUACAAAACUUAUUUUACUUUUGAAGUAGUUGAAAUAGAAAAUAAAGGACAUUAGUAUGAUAAAAAUGAAUAAAAAAUUAUAUUCAUUACAAAAUAUACAUCCAUCUAAACCCAUUUUUAUAAUAUACAUUUAUGGAUAGAUUAUGAAAAAAAAAAGAAAAGAAAAUAAUUUAAUUUAUUUAUAUUAAGUUUGAUCAAUACAAUAAAAUCAUAAUAUUUCAAUAAUUAGUAAUAUAUAAAUUUCAUUAAACUAUCAAAUAUAUAAAUUAUUUCAAAAUAAAUAUAAAUCUUAAUAAUAUAUAUUACUUCAAAAUGAAAUAACUAUUAGUAAUAUAUAAAUUAUAACCUCAAAUCAACAUAAAUAAUUUUAAUUUCUAUAAUUAUUAUUAAAAUCUAGAAAAUAUUAAAUAUAAGACAUCCAUCAAAAUAUAUAUAAAUCUUAAUACACAUUAAAUCCAAAUUAACUAAUAUAAAUCUUAAACAUCUAAAAGUUAAUAAAUUUAAAACAAAACCUAACAAAUCUCAACAAAAUUUUCACAAAUAAAAAAUAAAUAACACAACAAAUAAAAAAAAUUCCCUAACAAUACUAAAAAUAAAUCCAAAAAACAUUAACAAUACUCAACAUUAAUACUCAAUAAAAAAUCCAACAAAAAUAUAUAACCAACAAAUUUCACCAAAAAUAUAACCAAAACCCAAAUAAAUUUCAACAAAUAUAAAACCAACAAAAACCUCAAUAAAUUGGUAACCAAAACCCAAAUAAAUUUCAACAAAUAAAUAAUUAACAAAAACUCAAUGCAUUGGUAACCAAAACCUAAACAAAUUUUAGCAAAUUCAUAAAAAAAAUAAACCUUAAACUCAAUAAAUAUACUACAUAAAAUACAACAUAAAACAAAAUAAUUAAAAAAAAAACUUACUGGAGAGAGGAGACACAUUGAUGUCGGUCAGCACACUUGGAUGGUAAGGUGGUAGAAAAGGAAAGGGAAAAGGAAUUAAGGAUUUAGGAAAGAAAUUGAGGGAAAAAUAAGUUGCCCAAUAGGAGAUUUGAAAUUUUGUAACUCUUAGUGAUAGUUUUACUGACAAAAAUUAUGUCAAUAAUAUUAAAAUUUUUUUAAAAUAUUUUUUUAUGAUGGUUUUAGCAACUAAAUUUUUGUUAGUAAUGUCAAAAAAAAAUUUCAAAUUUUUUUACCAAUUGAAUUUUUUAUUGGUAAAUAUGUCAAUAGCUUUUAGUGAUGAAUUUAUCGACAAAAAAAUCCAUCAGUAAAAUUGGCCGUAAUAUGCACCAUAUUUUUAGCGAUGGAUUAUCGAUGGAUUUAAUUCUGUCGAUAAUCUAUUCGGUAAUCCAUUAAUAAAAUUUCAUCGAUAUUUCGUUGCUAAAUAUCGAUAGAAAAAUUGUCUAUAAAUUUUGUUAGUAAUGCUUAAAAGUCUAGUAGUGAUUAAACUACAAACUAUUUAGUGAAGCUAAUUAAUCCAAUUUUCAUGUACCUUAUUAAAUCAAGUUUAUAAAAAUUAGCUUGAUAUCUUAACAUGAUAUCAUCAUAAAUUUUAUAAAUUUCAAAUAUAAUAAAUAACUAUGUAUGUAAAUUAAUAUAAAUCUAAUAAUGCAAGAUUUUGACCUUUUUAAGGCAAAACUCCCCUAAAAAAGAAGGCAUGUGAGCCAAAAGUGAGCUAGCCAAGACAAAUAAAAUGUAACAUUACACAAAACAUCAAACUAUACAAGUUCUUAAGUCACUACAAAAAAUUGCUCUAUAUUUACGCUUAAAAAAUCGUCAAUAAAACUUAAAAAUCUGUUGGUAUAACACAGUAAAUCUUAUACUGAUAGUCAAAAUAUCUAUUUCAAAGAAUUUAUAACCGUUAGUAUAUUCUUUAUCGAUAUAGCCAUAUAUUGACGGUUUUUAAACUGUCAGAAUAUAUAAUAAAGAUAUAUUGAUAGUUUUAGUCCGUCACUAUAUGUAUAGCUGUUGGUAUAGCAACCAUUGUGUGUUUCACAUUAUACCUUUUACCGACGGUUAUUUCUAUUGGUAUAAAAUUGUAUGUUUUAAUUUUUUCAACUUAUACCAACAAUCUCUGCAUCAAUAUAUCUUUUACUAAUGGUCAAUACUCAUCAGUAUAGCCUUAUGUGUUUUAACUUUUAUUAACGGUUCGUGAUGACUGUCAAUAUAGCUUGAAAUAUUUCAAUAGUAUAAUAUGUUGAUAUAAAUUUUAAGAUAUCGAUAAAAACUUUUUUUUGAAUUAUAUUUUCAAUUAUUAAUAUUAACUUAUUUAUAAUUAUAAUAUAAUAUGGUUUCAUAUAAAGUAAAAAUACAUGAAAAAGUAAAAAUAUUUAACAACAUUUGAAAUAAAAUAACAACCAAAUUGUUUUGUAAUUCACAUAUUUAAAAUAAGUCAAGAACUAUCGUCAUUGUACCAAAUUCCAAAAAAAAAAAACAUUAAUAUCUAUGAUUGAAUGUCUGCAAAUAUAAUACUUGAAGUAAAUAAACAAUUUUCUAAAGUAAAAUGAUGCCAUCCCAAGUUGGUCCAAAUACCUAUUUAAUUAGUAAAACCCAAUAAAGAAUUUCAUGUCAAAUUAAGCUUUUACUAGUCAAUUAACAUAAGAAAUGUUCCCAAGGUCAAGUCAAGCAUACCAGAAACUAUAAACAAAUGAAUUGUUGACCAGAUUUUGUCCACUGUUAUAGGCCCCCUGCUUCACCAACCUAACUAACUGCUAAACUUGUUGAAUUCUUCAGAAUUGUUUGAAGGUCUCUAAAAAGCUACUACCCACCAUUUAGAUAAGAUGGUUCUAGGAUUUUGUUUAUAACCUGAUUAUCAUUACCUACAUACAAGGAAAAUAUGUAAUUUAAUAACUGAAUUUCAAGAAAUAUUUUUUAAACAAUGCAAUUUAUUAUUUUAUUGUACCUGCAUCAAAGUUGUAAAUAUGUUGAGUCACUACUUGUAGAGAUUUGGGUAUUUUUUGUAUAAAUUGUGUGAACCAGUUUGCAUCAAAAAAUCCUCUUGGUGCUAUUACUAAUGGUUGAACCUUAAAUCCCUUAUAUAUAUUCUAAAUAAUGUUUUAAAGAUUGUUCACAUUAGAUGCACAUAGAUAUGCUGUAACUUUUAUUUCAAUGCUAAAGCCACAUAAUUCAUUUCCUGAUUAGCCAUAUUAUUAUUUAAGAAAUUCCAUUGUUUCAGAUACCAAAAAACACAGGAAAACAAUUUGCUAAUGAAAAAAUAAAGGCAAGAUUAUCAUUUUUUUUCUACACAAUUAAACUACAUAUUGAUGGGGAAAUUUUACCAAAUUCCCAGCCAUGAAUGGUAUAGCCCUAGUUGACAAUGUAUCUAGUGAGUGAUUCAACAUUACUAGAAUUUCAAGCUCCCAUGGUAGAACCGUCUGGACCUACAGUCCUCUUAUUUAAUGCAUUUAAGCCAAAAACGACCAUAGCCUAGUGUUGGAAGUAAAAAGCAUUGGAUCUAGGUAAAAGAAAACUUCAUCUAGUUGUUUAAAUGUUAGGAAAUAGACAAAUUACAAAGUUUAUGAAGAUAGUAAUAAGUUUACUUACUUAGAUUUUUGAAGAAAAUGUUAAGUUCAUCUCAUCUAAACAUGGGUAAGCAACCUUUUGAGAAACCAAACAUCUCUAAGCUAUUUUUAGUAAACGAUGCAUAAGGAAUCUUUGCUCCAUUUCUUUUUAUUGAUUUUAAUCAGAUAUGAAUGGUUUGAUUACACCUUAACAUGGCAAUAAUCUGCCAUCCUUUACAAAUUUUGAUCAAAUAGAAAAAAUUUUGUCAACCAAUUACGAAAAAACAUUAAAACGAAGAUACAUUACCAAAACUACCAAGAAAAUAGAGAUUAUGUUUUAUUUGAAGGGAACCCUAAACAUUCAAUCGUCCUAAGCUAUUACUUCUUCAUAAAACAUUCAAUCAUCAAAGCCAGCACUAGUAGAAGGACAAAAAAAAAAAAAGGCAUACUUGAUGAUACAAAAUUGAAAUGCAAAAAAUGAAAAAUACCUUUGAGAAAUGACGAGGGUCUUGAUACUUUAACUUUGAUUCAGCUCUAAAACAAAAUGAGUGAUGAUAGGUUUAAGUUUAUAGAGUCAGUGGGAAGCAAAGAGAGUUAGUGGGAGAUGGAGAUUAGGCUAUAGGUACCAGAGGGUGGAAAGAGUUGAUGAGGAGGUGAAGAUUAAGUAUGUAGAGUCAGUGGGAGGUGGAGGGAAAUAAAAUGAUUUAAACAUUUUGGAGAUUAUUCAAACAUCUUUGACCAAAAACAUCUUGAAUAACCCCAUUCAAUUUUUUAUAAGGGAUUAUUCAAAGCAUUUUUUUGUUAAAAAUACCUUGAAUAACACCCUUAUAAAAAUUAAUUGAAUAGGGUUAUUUAAAUUACCAUCAAUAUGUCAAGGACAUUAUAAUAAUUAUUCAUGAUUUAAUAUAUGUGGAUUCCUCCAAACUAAACGAGUGAAUCUGAACACGAGAUGCCUUGAAAAUAAAAGAAAACCUUGGGUAUCGCACUUUCUGGGAAUUACACUUUCUUUCGAAAUCUAUAAUUUCGCGAAUCAAACGGCCCCUAAUUUUUUUUCUCAAAUAAAAACUAAUAGUUUUUUUUUUUUUUGAGCUUAUACUGACUGGUUGCAUUAAUAACCGUCAGUAUAUAACAUAUUUAUAUUGACGGAUAGUCAUAUACUGUUAUAAAAAGUUCAUUUAUACCGAUGAUUAAAUAAAGUAUUAGUAUAAGUAUAGUAUAUCUAACAGUAUUAAAAAUCUGACAGUAAAAUUUUCUUUUACUGAUGCAAUUUGACCAUCAGUAUAACUAAGUGUCAAUAUAUGAAAAUUUGUUUUUAAUGAGUGAGUUUGUAUAAAAGUUUUAAAAUCUUUUAAAAAAACUAAAAUGAAAAGUGUUCUAAAAUGAAUUAAUUGUAUGAAGAAAUAUUUUUAUUAAGAAAUUUUGAAUAUUAAAAUUUGAUGAGAUUUAAAAAAUAACUAUAAUAAAGAAAUAAUGAUAUUAGAGAUAGAAUAAACACAAAAAAAAAAAAUGCAAUAUAUGUGUCAUUAUAUUUGUAAAAAAUGUUUAGAUAAUACUAAUAACAUGGAAAAUAAAUAAAUAAAUUUUUAAAAGAAUUUUUGUAGUUAAAGUUGAAAAAAAAAGUUAUAUAAAAAAUGAAAUAUAAUAAACUAGUUUAUUACACUUGCAAUACAUUAAUUGUCUUUAAUUAUUUAAAUACGUGUAAACACAUAAAUUAACAUUUUUUAAUUAUUUAUAUAUUCAAAAUAUAUGUGAAACACAUAUAAUAUAAUCAAGAGAUCAAAUCACUAUAAAAUAAAAAUUUUUUAUUAAAAAUUUAACAAAUUUUAAAAAUAUGAAAAAUAAUAUUUGAAGAAGACUAAGAUAUUUAAAAUAUAUCAUACAUAUAAUAUAUUAUAUUAAAAAUAAAGAAUAUAGUUAAAUGUAAAUUUAGAUAUCUAUUGAUAAAAAGUCUCAUGCAAAAUACGUACAUAUGUAUCUAUUCUCUAUUAACAUUCAAUAUUGGAAACAAUAAGUUCUAUAUAUUUCGAAAGAAAAAGAUAUAAAUAAGCAUUAAAAUAGAAUAGUAAAAUAUCUAUUUGUCAAUCAUCCUUUGUAUAAGAUUAAUGCAUGUAAAAUUAUAGCAUAGUAUUAUUGCAUAUGAUACCAUCACUUAAAGCUUGCAAGUAAAUUUAUCAAUCACCAUUUCUAUUAGCAUUUUGAAACAUAAAACCUAUUUUAAAAGUUAAAGUGAUUACUAUAAAAGUAAAUUUAAUGUAGAUGUUUGUAAGUUGAAGUUAAGAAACAUAUCCUUGAUACUUACAAAAGAGAAAAAUAAAUGUUUCUGUAAAUUCUAACUUAAUACUUCACAAGAUAAGAAAAAGUAAUUGAAAAAAAAAUAUAGAUAAAUAUAAUUGACUUUAAGGGUUUCAGUGAAUUAUUUAUUUUAAUAUGUUAUAUUUUAUAUUAAUUACUAUUUUAAUAUAAUUUAAUAUAUGUUAAUAUUUUAAUUCAAUAAAUUUUUAAGAUUUUAAAUAUUAAAUAACAUUAAAAUAUAUAUAAAAAUUAAUUUACUAUUAUAUUUUUAAAUUAAAAUCCUUAAUAAUCAUUUUUUUACUAUAAUUUAUAUUACUAACAUUAUUGCUUUUAAAUUUAAAUGUAUAUUCUAAUAUUGAUUUUAAUCCUACUACUAAUACGUUAUCUAAUGUCAUCUCUAUGAUUAUUUUCAAUCUCAAUAGAUAUAAUUUCACUCUCUGACCAAAUUAACCAUCAUUUAAAUAACCAAGUUGGGAUAGAGGAGAUUUUGAAUGAUAGAUCUUAAGCAGCCCUAAAUUGGCCAGAUCCGAUCCCGGCUUUAGAAACAGGUAAAUGGUUUAAAUGGAGCACAUCAAUUAGGCGUGGUUCCGAAAUUAAGUUUGGAAUUUUGCGAGCACUUUAUCAUUUGAGCGCGGUGCGUGGGUGUCUCAUCCGACAACGAAGCAGCUGAAGGAAGAAGAAUUGGAGCUUUCGGUUUGUUUUUUUGAUGACGAUGAUGAUAAUGAUGAGGGGUUGGAGAAGCUGUUCUCUCUUUUCUUUUUCUUCUGCCUUUGAUCAUCUUCGACAAUUGGGAUCGGGUAACCCUAAAUCUGCCACUUCUCUCUUUUAUUCCCAAAUCUCUUAUUUCUCCACUACCCAUUGCAAGAAGAAACCCAAGUAUGUGUUUGAUCAAAUUGAUGGUGCCUUAAACAAGUUUAAUCAGAUGCUACAUAUGCAUCCAUGUCCUUCUAUUGUGGAAUUUAAUCAAUUAUUAGGGGCCAUUGUUAGAAUGAAGUAUUAUGAAACUGCGGUUACUCUGUUGAGAAAAAUGGAAUUACUAGGAAUUAAUCCUGAUGUUUAUACCCUCAAUAUUUUGCUAAAUUCUUUUUGCCGCUUGCAUCGUGUGGAUUUUGGGUUUGCGGUUUUGGGGAAGGUGUUGAAGUUGGGCAUUGAAUUAGAUACUGUAACAUUCUCCACUUUGAUCAAUGGACUUUGCAUUGGAGGUAAAGUAGCUCAAGCUGUGAGGUUGUUUGAUGACAUGGUUCGAGAAGGGUAUCAGCCUAGUUUAAUCACUUAUAAUACCAUAGUAAAUGGUCUUUGUAAAAUAGGUGACACUACUCGGGCUAUUCUACUGCUAAGGACUAUGGGAGAAAUAGGUUUUGCACCUGACAUUGCAACAUACAGCAAUGUCAUCGACAGCCUUGGUAAGGACAAGCAUGUAACCGAGGCUUUGAAGCUUUUCUCAGAAAUGAGAGGUAAAGGCAUUCCACCUGAUGUUGUCAUUUAUAGUUCCUUAAUUCAAGCUAUGUGUAACUCAUGUCAGUGGAAGGAGGUUACAAGAUUAUUCAAUGAAAUGAUGGCGAACAAUUGCAAACCUAAUGUCAUCACAUAUAGUAUUGUGGUCGAUGCCCUUUGUAAAGAGGGUAGGGUUUUAGAGGCUCAAAAUAUUUUUGAAAGAAUGAUUCAACAAGGUGUUGAGCCUAAUAUAGUUACCUAUAAUUCAUUGCUUGAUGGAUAUUGUUUGCGAGGUGAAAUGGGUGCAGCUAGAAAGUUAUUCAAUUCAAUAACUAACACGGGUUGUGUACCUGAUGUAUUUAGUUACAGCAUCAUUAUCAAUGGAUAUUGUAAAGCUAAAAGGAUUGAUGAGGCAAUGGAACUUUUUCAUGAAAUGACUCGAAAUGGAUUAAUCCCGAAUGUUGUUACUUACAACACUCUUAUAGGUGGCAUGUCGCAGGUUGGGAGACUUGCAGGUGCAAAAGAACUUUUCGAAGAAAUGAGUACUCGUGGCCUAGUUCCAGACUUGAUCACUUACUCUACUUUGCUGGAUGGCUUAUGCAAGUGUGGUCAUAUUCAUGAGGCAUUGGGACUUUUUCGUGUAAUGCAGAAUGGUUGGUUAGAACCUGACAUUGUCCACUAUUCUAUCUUAAUUGAUGGCUUGUGUCAAGUUGGGCAACUUAAAGUUGCAAGGAAAUUAUUUUGUGCACUCAAAGUUAAAGGGAUACACCCUAAUGUUUACACAUAUAGUAUAAUGAUCAGAGGACUUUGUAAAGAAGGGUUGCAGAAUGAAGCAUACAAACUGUUUAGUAAAAUGGAAUUGGAUGGUUGCAUGCCAAAUAGUUGCACUUAUAAUGUGAUGAUUACGGGAUUUCUUCGAAACAAUGACGUAUCAAGGGGAGUACAAAUUCUUCGUGAAAUGGUUAACAGAGGAUUUUCUGCAAAUGCAUCUGUAGCGGCGAUGCUAGUGGAUUUAAUGUCUAGUGAUUCAACGGGUGAAUAUAUUCAUGCAGUAGUUCAGAAACUUUGAAGACUAUCAAAGUUCUAAUAUGGGGUGAUUUCUUCCCAGCCAAUAUUAGUGCAAUAAAUCCAAACAAGUUUUAUAAUCUGUAAGGGUUGCUAAUAACUAUUUAAGCAGUCCCUAAUUCCAUCAUAUGAACUUCAUAUAGAAGGCAGUAUUUCACUAUUUGAUUAGGCAUUAGGCAGCAUGCAAGUGUCCUAUUUCCUAUUAAAUUCAGGAAGAAGGCUGAUUUUGAAUUUUUCAGCAUGCAGGUACUCUUUUUUCUUCUGUUUCUCUCUUCUCUUUUUUUUUUUUUUUCUUGUUUUUUUAUCUUCUAGGGCGCCUAUAGGCAUAGCAGGGUUGGGCUCUAUUAAUGGUUUACCAUUCAUUCUAGUUUUGAUAACCUUGCAAAGUGGACAAUAUUCUCCUUUGCAGAACAAAUGUCAGUGCUCAUUCAUGCCGCUUUAUAAUCAUACUGGCUUUUCCUGGUGGUGUUUCUUUGGAACUGGAAGCAUUAGAAAGUUCUUUGUUGUGAGUUUUGUUUCAUGGAAAUGUGGUUUCAAUUAAAGUGAAUGGUAUAGAAUUUUUUAUUAACAUAAAAUUCCAUUUGAAAUGCAUUUCCUUUGCUCAGAUGGCGAAGUCACCAGAGCUAUCUCCUGUGGUGGUGCAGAAUUUCUGUUGAUCUUCCACCAUUUGGGGAACUGGCUUGGCUAGCUACCUUGUCUGCUCUAACUGAACAUCUUACAGGGAUAGGAUCACAUUGUUGAAUUGUAUGUACUGAAAUUCAAAAAAUUUCCCUGGAUCUAUAAUGAAUUGACAUGAUUCUAAUAUAAUGCAUCUCUGUUUUCCUUUAUUCUUCUUAUCUUAUAAAUUUAUGUAGUUAUGUCCUUAUAGUUUUCCUCUCGAUUUUUCCUCUACUUUAUAGUUCCUAGUAAGGGACUUUGAACAAUUUGAUUAAACUUCUUGCCCUGCAAAUUUCGUCUUUUCUUUUGUGCUACUUGCCUUACUCUUUGCUUAUCAUUCUCAGAUGUAUAGUACAACUUUAAUAGCAACAAAUGCAUGCCAGAAACUACUUAUUUUUCUUAAUAUAAAUUUCAGAUCAAAGUGGACAUAAACAUAGAAUGGGAUUUAUAAAUGGAUCACUGAAUUAUGGUUUUCCCUCUAUCAUUUCAUGAUCUGAACCUAUAAAACUCAUUUGUGUUUGCUUGCUGUGACACCACCUUAGGUGUUUGCCACAAUGAUUUUAAUACCUUCUUUAGUGAGACUGGGUCUGGCAAGCAUGUGCCAAGAGCUAUAUUUGUUGAUCUAGAGCCCACUGUCGUGAUGAAGUUGGAGGAGGGACUUAUAGACAACUCUUUCACCGGGAGCAACUUGUUUCUGGCAAGGAAGAUGCUGCUAAUAACUUUGCUAGAGCACAUUAUACAGGUACAAGCAUCUUUUCUGCAUUUCCAAAGUACUAGCAAUUUUGUUAGAUUUGGUCACUGGCUUAAACUUCUUUGGUGUUGUAUACUGCAGUUGGUUGGGCAAUUGUGGAUCUUUGCCUUGACCAAGUGAGAAAAUUGGCUGAUAACUGCACUGGUUUGCAAGGAUUUUUUGAAUUUAAUGCUGUUGGCAGUGAAAAUGGUUUUGGUUUGGGCUCGUUGCUUUUGGAGUGCUUGUCUGUAGAUUAUGGAAAGAAGUCAAAACUUGGCUUCUCCAUCUACCCUUCUCCUCAGGUAAUUUCUUGAAGACUUAAAGGAAAAGUACAGGUUUCGUUUACCCUAUGCUUGAACUAUAAUGAUUGUGCAAUUCACUGAACAAUUAUCCUCAAUUGUGCAGGUUUCUACCGCUGUUGUGGAACUUUAUAAUAGCAUGCUCUCAACUCAUUCUCUCCUUGAACACACAGAUGUUGCUAAGCUUCUUGACAAUGAAGCUAUAUACGAUAUCUGUAGGAGAUCCUUAGGCAUUGAAAGACCAACUUAAACAAACUUGAACCGCUUGAUAUCCCAAAUUAUCUCUUCUUUGACCACUUCAUUGAGGUUUGAUGGUGCCAUAAACAUGCACAUCGCAAAGUUUGGACAUUUUAGAGUUUCAGAAUAACCUUGUGCCAUAUCCUUGUAUCCAUAUCAUGCUCUCAUCAUAUGCCCGCAGCUAUCAGUUCCUGGGAUUACAAGUGCUGUUUUUGAACCAUCAAGCAUGAUGGCUAAAUGUGAUCCAAGGCAUGGGAAGUACAUAGCAUGCUGUUUAAUGUACCGUUGAGAUGUUGUACCUAAGGAUGUCAAUGCUGCUGUUGCUACCAUCAGAACUAAGCGGACAGUUCAGUUAGUAGAUUGGUUAGUAGACAUCUCUUACAUUUCAUUUCCAAAUAAUUAUGUAUAAGCAAUCUGAUUAUCAUUAUUACAUAGAGUUCGCCAAGGGGAAAACAUUGAUUUUGCCUUUGGUUUGUUAUCUGAAUGAUUGUGAUGCGUCUUUUAUUUCAGGUGCCCUACUGGUUUCAAGUGUGGUGUCAACUAUCAGCCACCCACUGUGGUACCAGGGGGUGAUCUCGCUAAGGUACAACGUGCAGCAUGCAUGAUCAGCCACCCACUAUGCAUGAUUAGCAGAGAUUUUCUCCCGAAUUGACCACAAGUUUGAUCUCAUGUAUGCCGAAAGAGCAUUUGUUCGCUGGUAUGUAGGUGAAGGAAUGGGGGAAGGUGAAUUCUCAGAAGCCCGUGAAGACCUUGCUGCUCUCAAGAAAGACUAUGAGGAAGUUGGGGCAGAAGGUGCCAAAACGAAGAACCAGAAAAUUACUAGAUCUAUAUUUCAUGAAAGCAGCAGCUAAUUGUCCAUCAUGUUCCUCAAGUCCAUCAUGUUCCUCAACUCAUUUCAGUUCAUCAGCUAUUCUUAUUGUUGUAAGUUUAUGCAUUUGUACUUCGUGUCUUGAAUUUGUAUUUGCAUGUCUUUGCUCCGAACGUGGGUGGUUUUAAGUGUUGUUGUGAGAACCUGUAGUUUCUGUCCUAUGAGAUGUGGUCCCUUUCAAUGUCUAAUUGUGCCAUGAUUUGAUAUAAUGCAAGUCAAAAUUUCCCAGAAAAAUAACAGAAACAACUAGAAAAUAAAGAUUUCCCAAUUUUCUGUUAGGUGGGUGAUUAAAUAUUUUGCCACAAACUGAGAGGCAUGUAAUUAGAAACAGAAGUUUUCCAUUUAAGAAAAACAAUAUCUAAAAAAAAAAAAAAAAACAUAAGGAUUGAUAAAUAAAGUCCAUGUUGUUAAAAAAAUUUUAAUGAGUUUUUUUUUUUUUUAAUAUAUGUAAUUGCUGCUCUCGUUUAUUCAUCAAAUAAAUAACUUAACUAGAUGAGAAUUUAAUUUUUUUUCCUAUUAUAAAUAGAGACAAGACUUAUAGAAAUUUUUAUUUCCAAUUUGUGAAGUUUGAUAUUAAAAAUGAUUCAUUCAAAAGUUUAAUUUAAAAUUGAAAUUCAUAAAUUAAAAUAUCUUAGUAAAUUUUUUAUUAAAUCAUUUUUAAUAUUAAAAUUCACAUAUUUCAUUUAAAUUUUUUUAUAAAAAAUAGCUAUCUUGACUUGUGAGUAGUUUUGUAAAAGAUCAAAAAUAAAUUAAUUAAUCAACUAUUUACUUAUAUUUUUAUAUUUAAGAUUGUUUAGAAUUGAAAAUGUAUUAUUAAAAUUAAAAUUCUAACAUUUUAUCAAAUUAUUGACUAAAGAUUUUUUUAAAAUCUAAUGUCUAAUAAUACUAAUUAAUUUUAUCAACAACAAAAUUUAUUGAUCACUGAUUGCCAAACUUGAUUAAAUAAAAGAGGAUUUUGCUAAUAAUUAUCUUGAGAUAGUUUUUAAAAUUACAAAUUUCGAUUGAGUGAGUGGCUGAUUCCAUAUUCCUCUCUUUUUAUUAUUUCUUUUAUUAUAAAUUUUUUUAUCCAUGUCAAUUUUUAGAAGUUUCUUUCUUUAAAAGUUCUAGCGUUUUUUUCAACCUAAACUUUUGUCUUUAGAGUUAAGCAUUAACUUUAAGAAAAAGAUCAUUUUUAUUGUUAGUAUAAAUUAUUAUUAUAUUAAAUCGUUUUUUACAUUAUAAAAUUCAAACCCUUAACAGUCAAAUAUCACAUUUAAUAUAAAAAUAUUGUUAUAAAUAAUAUUUUAACAAAUUUAAAAAAGAUAUUUAUUGUAAAAUCUAAUUUGAAUUUAUGAAAAAAUUAAAUUAUACUAUAUUAUAUAAUUAUUUAAACAAAUUAAAUUUUACGCUAACAAUUAUAACUCAUUGUAGUUAAAGAGAUAUUUUUUAAUAUUUAAAGUUUCAAGUAUGGAUAAAAUAUUUUAGUAACGGAUCAUAAAAUUUUACUAUUUUUUAUUCACUAAUUCACCGUAACUCAUUAUUAACUAAAAUUAAUUAGAUUAAUUUGUGUGUAUUUGGAAAUACUAUAAUAUUUAAUUUAUUAACCCAAAUGGCAAUUUGGUAAAUUGAAAUGUUUCGACCAAGCGUUAAACUAAUUAAUCAAUUGUUGGAUAAAAACAGCGAAAAUGUGUUUUUUUUUUAAAUAUAAUGUUUGAAGAAAAUUAUCUUCAUCUUGCAGUUUGGAUCAAUGUACAUUAGAUUCAUCCUGCAAUUUUGGUAAUAAAAAAAUUCUUAAUAAUUUUAAACACUUGACACCAAGAAUUAAGAAAAAAAAACACACAAAAACAACGAAUUUAAAUUUUAGUAAAAUUAUAGAUAUUUAGUAAAAAUUGUAUUUUAUAUUUCUUGAUCUAAUAAUUUGACAAAAUAAUUUUUAUAUUGAUUUACCUAUUUCAAAAUCUUCUGGCCGUUGUAAGAGCUCAUCGACACCCCAUGACAACACUCAUGGAUUCAAAAGACUAUUGGUGUAAUGAACCUGCAGUGUGAUUUGAAGGCAACUUAUGAGAUGGCGAUGCAAGAACAAAAAAUAAGCAAAAAAAAAUCAAACUCAGAAAUUAAUUAAAUAUGUUCUCUACUAAUAAUACCAUCAAAGCUAUAAAACCGAAGAUGUGCUUUAAAAUUUACCUAGUAGUUAAAGAGGAGAAAUAAUGCUAGUAAUUGGAUUAAAAAAACAAAGGUAUAGUCUGCAAUGCAAGGGACAACUUAUAAUUCAAGUAUAAAUUUAAUGAUAGUUGUAUCUUAUGCCAUAAUUUAAAAUUUUCUUCCAUAACUCAGUUAACAAAAUAAUUUCUUAAAAACAAAUGCCAUAUUCGAGUAAAAGAUUAUAUACCCUAAUGAAUUUACAAGAUUCAAACCAAAUCAACCCUUUAUAAAAAUCUCGGAUUUGUUCACUGCCAUUUCUGAUGAAAUUGAGGACCGCUGAAGUAGUAGGGGCCUAUGUCACAGAAACAUCAAACAUUACUACAAAAAUAUAGUUUACAAACAACUACAUGAAGAAAUAAGAUAAAAAUGAUGAAUUACUGUAAGAUGCCAUGCUAUUGCUUCUAGAACACAUAAUUACUUAUGAAGAACAUUUACAAAACAUUGUGCAUCAAUAAAGAUUCCAAAAACUGAAAAUUUGAUUCUUCUUCAUUUUGAGAAAGGGAGGAAUAGGUGAGUAAACACUGCAAACUGCAGUAGUAUAUUUUCUAUGACACUGUACAUACUAUAUUAUUAGAUCUGCAAACGAAUACAUUCACUAGUUUGGUCAUUUCAAUGCUUAACUUAUCCUAAACAAUUUUGAUUAGAAAAUGAAAAGAAGAAAAAACCAAAAUAGAAACAAGUAUUUAACCAGUAAGGCAUGUUUACUGGUCUUGGAUAGUUGUUGGAGACUUCUAUAAUUAACUUGUGGUGUCAGAAGUGAAUACACAUUAUCACUAUUCAUUCUAGGAUAGCACAAUCGAGAACAUAAAACUCAAAUGGAUAAGAAAAUUCACCUUAAUUUUGCUUAAAAUGUAUGUAAAAUAAUCAGUGCCUGUAAUGAUAAUUAUUCUCUUAGCGACUCUUACCAUCUACAUCUCUUACACCACAUUACACUAAAAUGUAAACAACAAUAUUUCUUUUCCUUUGUCUAUUUUCAUGUGUUUCAUCUAAUAUCCUUGACUGGUUGAAUCCUAGGUCGUAACCUAAGGCAAGGCUCAAAUAUUUAAAGAUUGCAUAAACAAUUUUAAGAAAAUCCAAAUGUUAUUGCAUAAUAUCUUGAUUAUGUAUUUGCAAAUUACAUGACUGUCAGAAAGCAAAUAGCAUCAACUGAGUGGUGUGAAUGAAAAAUGAAUAAUUGACAAGUAUGAAAAGCUAGCGUCUAACUAUCAUUGAAUGCAUAUGCAAUAACAGAAAGAAGACAAAUACAAUAAAACACAACAACCAGGCAUCUUCCCCCUAGCAGAAAGUUGAUAACCAUAUAUAAAUAUAGAAAUGCAACAAAUUAACAGUGAAGAAAUAACAGAGAGGAAACUCAGUAGUAACAAUGGUAAAUGCUUAUCAAAUGCUCAAUGGCGCACAGACAUUCAGUUUGGGACUUAUGUCGUCAUUCAUGACUUCAACUAAUGUGAUUACAACUAUCUCAUGAUAUCGGUAUUGCAACAUUGGACAUAAGCGCGCAGACAACUAUUUAAUAGCAUUAAUAAUUGCCAAUUGAACUCAAGGAUGUGAAUCAUUUACUGACCCCUAAACCAUUGGCACUACCUUUUCCAGAUUUUCUAGCAUCAUCUGCACAAACAAAGUAAAAACAUAAGCGAAACUCAUUUGGAAGUAAAUGAAACAUAAGAACAAUCUUCUCAAAAUUAGCUCUACCUCCAAACCAAUAAGCAUGUCUAAAGGAAUUCUUUAUUAGAUUAACAACAAAGAAACUAUUUUACAUCAAAUACAAGAAAUGCAUAAAUGCUUAUCUAGAAUAAACAAUAUAUAUAUUGUAUAUAUGUAUCAAACAUCAUCAAAUCUAAUUAAAUAAAUUAUUGCAAUUUCAAACCUUUGAAGUGAAUAAAACAUGUUAGCAAUUUUAUCAAAAUAAACUCUCUCAUCCAACCAAUAAUAAUUAACAAAUGAAGCAAGUUUUAAAUUUAAUUAAUUAAGAGCAAAACAUAUACCAUGAACUCUACAAUAAUAACAAGCUAACUAAAUUGUUCAUCUACAAUAAACCAAUAUAUAACAUUAAAUAUGAGCAAAUCAAUUACUAAUGUAACUUCAAACCUUAAAACAGCCCUCAGCAAUUUUUGGAAUAGUAAUGAGAGCAGCUAGCCACUAAUGUCACAUGGAAGUACCUAACAAAUGUGAAAACAAGCGUAAAACCACUAAAAGAUCGUCUUCUCACCCAACAAAACAGACAACUUACUCAAACACUUUUUUGCUAAUAUAUAAUCAUUCAUCCCACAAAAAUGGUCAACCUUAUACUCAUCCUCAUCCACAUACUCAAUAUCGAAUAACAUAUACAUUAACUCAUGAAACAACCUCUUUAUAAAUUGUGGCUCCUUGCUUAUCAUUCUUGGAUCCUUCUCCACCAAUGCCAUUAGGGAUUCAAUCGCCAAAUGUUUUAUGUCUACCUCUAAACUAUCAUCAACUGUGAUCUUCAACAUCAAUUGUAGUACCUUCUUUAACUGCCUCUCAAAAAACCUUGGGUCAGUCUUUGCUAAUUUGAUUAACAAUUGCAAAGAUUCCUUAGACUUUGAUUCUGACCCUGAAUUCAGAGCAGUAGUCAAUAUUUGUGAAGCAACAAAACUGCUACUUCUCUUUUUCAUAAAACUCUAAUAUGACAAUGUAAAAUAUGAAAACAAGCAUAAAAAAAUGAAAAUAAUAUGAAUUAAAAAUUUAAUAAAAAUUAUAUAUUAAUUUAAUAUAAAAUAAUAUAAUGAUUUUUUAUCUGAGAUAUAUGUACAUUUUUUAUGGCAAAAGCAUUUGAUGGGCUUUUUGUUUGAGUUUGAUUGGAUCGAAAGUAAAUUUUUUAACACAAAUAACUUUUAAAAUGAUAUAAUGAGUUGAUGUGAAUAUAGAUAAAAUUUCUGGAAAAGCUCAUGAAGCAUUCCAUAUUCACAUGGAAAAGCUUUGUAAAUUGAUCAAUUAUUUUCAAUACAUGGAUGAUGAUGUUGCUAGGAAAAUGUAAAUGUACGAUUUCAUAUCUGCAUUAGGACUACAAAGGUUGACUAAUAAAGACCUUGUUAGAGAUGGGUUCUUGUGUCUCUAACAAUGGAACGACUGGCUAUGAGAUGAGAACCGAUGGGCUCUUUUCGUGUUUACCACGACGGUAGGGCCAUUGUGCUCCAUUGCUUUCUCUCACUGUUGCUUAGUUUACUUGGAGCUCUAAUGUCAGCAUUUUCAGACUUUCUUUCAAGGAACGGAAUGAAAACUAUUCGAUUCUCCAAGAAAGAGAAAGAACAAAACUAAGCUUCGGGAGAACCAUCAUGGCCACCGAUUCCAUUUCCAGUCAGCUUCGCCUCUCAGGGAACGAAAAUUGUUCAAUUCUCCAAGAAAUAGAAAUAACAAAACCAUGUCUCGAGAGAGCCACCAUGUCGAAUGAUUCCAAUUCCACUCAGCACCGUCUUCAUCCCAAUAUAUUGACUAAAAAAUAGUUGAUUAAAAAUAUUUUUUUUUUAUAGCAUAAUUCGGCAAGGUAAUUCAAUUAAAAAUUUUUAUUUUAAAAUUCAUUCCAUCCCAAUUCUUAAUCAUUGAGAACAAUAUAAUACUUCUUAUAUUUUUAAUAAUUUUUUUUGUCUAGUGGUUACAAAAUUUAGUGAUUUUCAAACCUUAAAACUAAACGGCAUUAGGCAGCAUGCAAGUAUCCUAUUAAAUUCAUGAAGAGGGCUGAUUUUUAUUUUUCAGCCCGCAGGUACUCUUUUUUCUUCUGUUUUUCUCUUCUCUUUUUUUUUUUUUUUUGUCUUUUUUUCCUUCUAGGGCACCUAUAGGCAUAGCAGUGUUGGGCUCUAUUAAUGGUUUACCAUUCAUUCUAGUUCUGAUAACCUUGCAAAACGUAUAAUAUUCUCCUUUGCAGAACAAAUGUCAAUGCUCGUUCAUCCUUCUUUAUAAUCAUAUUGUCUUUUCCUGGUGGUGUUUCUUUGGAACUGGAAGCAUUAGAAAGUUUUUUGUUGUGAGUUUUGUUUCAUGGAAAUGAGAUAUUUGGUUUGAAUUGAAGUGAAUGGUAUAGAAUUUAUAUAAUUCUUUUUUAUUAACAUAAAUUUCCAUUUGACAUGCAUUUCCUAUGCUCAGAUGGCGAAGUCACCAGAGCUAUGUCCUGUGGUGGUGCAGGAUUUCUAUUGAUCUUCCACCAUUGGGGUACUGGCAUGGCUAGCUGCCUUGUCUGCUCUAACCGAACAUCUUACAGGGAUAGGAUCACAUUGUUGAAUUUUAUGUAUUGAAAUUCAAAAAAUUUCCCUGUAUCUAUUAUGAAUUGACAUGAUUCUAAUAUAAUGCGUCUCUGUUUUCCUUUAUUCUCCUUAUUAUAUAAAUUUAUGUAGUUAUGUUCUUAUAGUUUUCCUCUCGAUUUUUCCUCUACUUUAUUGUUCCUAGUAAGGGACUUUGAACAAUUUGAUUAAACUUCUUGCCCUGCAAAUUUCGUCUUUUCUUUUGUGCUACUUGCCUUACUGUUUGCUUAUCAUACUCAGAUGUAUAGUACAACUUUAAUAGCAACAAAUGCCUGCCAGAAACUACUUAUUUUUCUUAAUAUAAAUUUCAAAUCAAAGUGGACAUAAACAUAGAAUGGGAUAUGUAAAUGUAUCACUGAAUUAUGGUUUUCCCUCUAUCAUUACAUGAUCUGAACCUAUAAAACUCAUUUGUGUUUGCUUGCAGUGACACCACCUUAGGUGUUUGCUACGAUGAUUUUAAUACCUUCUUUAGUGAGACUGGGUCUGGCAAGCAUGUGCCAAGAACUAUAUUUGUUGAUCUAGAGCCCACUGUCAUUGAUGAAGUUGGAGGAGGGACUUAUAGACAAGUCUUUCAUCCAGAGCAACUUAUUUCUGGCAAGGAAGAUGCUGCUAAUAACUUUGCUAGAGGACAUUAUGCUGGUACAAGCAUAUUUUCUGCAUUUCCAAAGUACUAGCAAUUUUGUUAGAUUUGAUCACUGGCUUAAACUUCUUUGAUGUUGUAUACUGCAGUUGGUCGGGUAGUUGUGGAUCUUUGCCUUGACCAAGUGAGAAAAUUGGCUGAUAACUGCAUUAAUUUCAAGGAUUUUUUUAAUUUAAUGCUGUUGGCAGUGGAACUGGUUUUGGUUUGGGCUCGUUGCUUUUGGAGUACUUGUCUGUAGAUUAUGGAAAGAAGUCAAAACUUGGCUUCUCCAUCUACCCUUCUCCUCAGGUAAUUUCUUGAAGAUUUCAAGGAAAAGUACAGAUUUCUUUUUCCCUAUGCUUGAACUAGUAUGUGUGUGCAAUUCACUGAACAAUUAUCCCCAACUGUGCAGGUUUCUACUGCUGUUGUGGAACCUUAUAAUAGUAUGCUCUCAACUCAUUCUCUUCUUGAACACAAUGAUGUCGCUGUGCUUCUUGACAAUGAAGAUACAUAUGAUAUCUGUAGGAGAUCCUUGGACAUUGAAAGACCAACUUAUUCAAACUUGAAUCGCAUGAUGUCCCAAAUUAUCUCUUCUUUGACCACUUCAUUGAGUUUUGAUGGUGCCAUAAACAUGGACAUCACAGAGUUUGGAUAUCGCAGAGUUUCAGACUAACCUUGUGCUGUAUCCUUGUAUCCAUUUUAUGCUUUCAUCAUAUGCCCCAGUAAUCUCAGCUACAAAGGCUUACCAUGAGCAGCUAUCAGUUCCUGAGAUUACAAGUGCUGUUUUUGAACCAUCAAGCAUGAUGGCGAAAUGUGAUCCAAGGCAUGGGAAGUACAUGGCAUGCUGUUUAAUGUACUGUGGAGAUGUUGUACCUAAGGAUGUCAAUGCUGCUGUUGCUACCAUCAAAACUAAGUGGCUGUUCAGUUAGUAUAUUGGUUAGUAGACAUCUCUUACAUUUCAUUUCCAAGUAAUUAUGUAUAAGCAAUCUGAUUAUCAUUAUUACAUAGAGUUCUCCAUGGGGAAAAUAUUGAUUUUGCCUUCGGUUUGUUAUCUGAAUGAUUGUGAUGCAUCUUUUAUUUCAGGUGCCGUAUUGGUUUCAAGUGUGGUAUCAACUAUCAGCCACCCACUGUGGUACCAGGGGUUGAUGUCACUAGGGUACAACGUGCAGCAUGCAUGACCAGCCACCCACUAUGCAUGAUUAGCAGAGGUUUUCUCCCGAAUUGACCACAAGUUUGAUCUCAUGUAUGCCAAGAGAGCAUUUGUUCACUGGUAUGAGGAAGUUGGGGCAGAAGGUGCCGAAAACAAAGAAGAACCAGAAGAUUACUAGAUCUAUAUUUCAUGAAAGCAGCAGCUAAUGGUCCAUCAUGUUCCUCAACUCAUUUCAGUUCAUCAGCUAUUCUUAUUGAUGUAAAUUUGUGCAUGUGUACUUCAUCUCUUGAAUUUGUCUACCUUUGUAUGUCUUUGCUCUGAAAGUGAGUGGUUUUAAGUGUAGUUGUGAGAACCUAUAGUUUCUGUCCUAUGAGAUGUGGCCCCUUUCAAUGUCUAAUAAAGCUUCUGCCUUGUGCCAUGAUUUAAUAUAAUGCAAGUCAAAAUUUCCCAGAAAAAUAACAGAAACAACUAGAAAGUAAAGAUUUCCCAAUAAUUUUCUGUCUGGUGGGUCAUUAAAUAUUUGGCUACAAACUGAGAGGCAUGUAAUUGGAAACAGAAGCUUUCCACUUAAGAAAAACAAUAUUUAAUUAAAAAAAAAAAAAGGAUCGCUGAAUAAAGUCCAAGUUGUUGUUGAAAAAUUUUUAAUGAGUUUUUUUAUUUUUUAUGUAAUUACCAAUCUCGUUUAUUCAUCAAAUAAAUAAUUUAACUAGAUGAGAAUUUUUCUUUUUUUUUUUUGUAAUAUAAAGAGAGACAAGACUUAAUAAAAUUUUUAUUUGCAAUUUGUGAAGUUCGAUAUUAAAAGUAAUUCAUUAAAAAUUUUAAUCUAAAAUUGAAAUUCAUAAAUUAAAAUAUCUUAGAUUAAAAGUUUUAUUAAAUUAUUUUUAAUAUUGAAUUUCACAAAUUUCAUUUCAAAUUUUUUAUAAAAAAAUUAGCUAUCUUGACUUGUAAGUAAUUUUUUAAGAGAUCAAAAAUAAAUAAAUUAAUCAAUUAUUUACUUAUAUUUUUGUAUUUGAGAAUGUUUAGAAUUACAAUUUUAUUAUUAAAACUAAAAUUUUAACAUUUUAUCAAAUUAUUGACUAAAGAUUUUUUUAAAUCUAAUGUCUAAUAAUACUAAUUAAUUUUUAUCAACAAUGAUAUUUAUUGAUCAAUGAUUGUCAAUCUUGACUAAAUAAAAGAGGAUUUUGCUAAUGAUUGAUAGUUUUUAAAAUUACAAAAUUUCAUAGAGUGAGUGGCUGAUUCUCUCUUACUCUCUUUUUUAUUUUUAUUCAUUUUUUUAUUAUAAUUUUUUAUCUAUGUCAAUCUUCCAGUUUUAGCCUGUUUUUCAACCUUGAAAACUUUUGUCCUUAGAGUUGAGCAUUAACUUAAGAUAAUUUUUAUUGUUAGUAUAAAUUAUUAUUAUAAAAUUAUAUCCCUUAACAGUCAAAUAUCACAUUUAAUACAAAAAUAUUAUAAUAUUAUAAAUAAUAUUUUAAUUAAUUUUAAAAAAAGAUAUUGAUAAUAAAAUCUAAUUUGAAUCCACGAUAAAAUUUUAAUAAGUGAAUAACAUAACUAAUGAUGGAACCAAAAUUAAAUUAUAAUACAUUAUAAAGUUAUUUAAAUAAAUUAAAAUUUAUGUUGUCAAUUAUUUCAUUACAGAUAAAGAGAUUUUAUUUUUUAUAACAUUUAAAUUUUUCAAGUAUGGGUGAAGCAUUUUACUAACGGAUCAUAAAAUUUUAUUAUUUUUUAUGCAUUAGUUCACCAUUACUCAUUGUUAACUAAAAUUAAUUAUAUUAAUUUGUGUGCAUUUGAAAAUACUAUAGUACUUAAUUUAUUAAUCCAAAUGGUAAUUUGGUAAAUUGAAAUGAUCCAACCAAAUGUUAAAUUAAUUAAUCAAUUGUUGGAUAAAAACGAUGUAAGGGUAUUUUUUUAAAAAUAUAAUGUUUGAAGAACAUUAUCUUCAUGUUGCAAUUUGAAUCAAAUGUACAUUAGAUUCAUCCUGCAAAUUUGCUAAUAAAAAAAUUUCUUGAUAAUUUUGAACACUUCACACCAAGAAUUAAGAAAAAAAAAAAAACAUAAAAACAACAAACUUAAAAUUUUUGUAAAAUUAUAUAUAUUUAGUAAUAAAUAUAUUUUAUAUUUUAUUUAUUGAUAUAAUAAUUUGACAUAAUAAUUUUUUAUAUUUGAUACAAUACGAACAUAAUUAUAACUGUAUAAAUUAUCAAGUCUACAUUAAAUUGAUGUAAUCAAUAAUUAGAUUCUCAAUACAUAAUACUUUCUUCUAAUUUAUUUUCAAACUUGUUAUAUUUAAAAUCAAACCGCUUUGAGCAAACUUUUAACAUCAUCAUUAGUCACAUUUUCAUUUCCUCAUGAUACACGUGAAUAGAUUGUCGGCUCUUCUUCCAUUGUUUCUAGCCAUUCUCUUAAUGUCUCACCAUCUUCAUCUCUUACACCACAUCACACUAACAUGUAAAUAACAAUAUUUCUUUUUCUUUGUUUAUUUUCAUGUGUUCCGUCUAAUAUCCCUGAUUGGCUAAAUCUUAAGUCCUAACCCAAGGAAAGGCUCAAAUAUUUAAAGAUUGCAUGAACAAUUUUAAGAAAUUCCAAAUGUUAUUGCAUAAUAUCUUGAUUAUGCAUUUGUAAAUUACAUGAUUGUCAAAAAAUAAAUAGCAUCAACCGAGUGGAGUGAAUGAAAAAUGAAUAAUUAACAAGUAUGAAAAGCUAGCAUCUAACUAUCAUUGAAUGCAUAUGCAAAACAUAAAGAAGACAAAUAUAAUAAAACACAACAACCAAGCAUCUUCCCCCUAGCAAAAAGUUGAUAACCAUAUAUAAAUAUAGAAAUGCAACAACUUAACAGUGAAGAAAAAAGCAGAGAGAAAACUCAGUAGUACCAAUGGUAAAUGCUUAUCAAAUGUUAAUGGGCCCACAGACCUUCAGUUUGGGACUUGCGUCGUCAUUCAUGACUUCAACUAAUGUGAUUAAAACUAUCUCAUGAUAUCGGGUAUUGCAACUGCGGACAUUAGCGCACAGACAACUGUUUAAUAGCAUUAAUAGCUGCCAAUUGAACCCAAGGAUGUGAAUCAUUUAUAGACUCCAAAACCAUUGGCACACCUCUUCCAAAUUUUCUAGCAUCAUCUGCACAAACAAGGUAAAAACAUAAGUGAAACUCAUUUGGAAGUAAUGAAACAAAAGAACAAUGUUUUCAUAAUUAGCUUUACCUCCAAACCAAUAAGCAUGUCUAAAGGAAUUCUUUAUUAGAUUAACAACAGAGAAACUAUUUUACAUCAAAUACAAGAAAUGCAUAAAUGCUCAUCUAGAAUAAACAAUAUAUAUAUAUAUAUAUAUAUUCUGGUAGUGAUUAAACUACAAAUUGUUUAGUGAAGGUAAUUAAUCCAAUUUUCAUGUAUCCCAUUAAACCAAGUUUAUAAAAAUUAUCUUGAUAUCUUAAUAUGAUAUCAUCAUAAAUUUUGUAAAUUUCAAAUAUAACAAAUAAUUAUUUAUGUAAAUUAAUGUAAACCUAAUAAUGCAUGAUUUUAAUCUUUUUAAGGCAAAACUUCCCUAGAAAGAAAGCAUGCGAGCCAAAAGCUGAGCUAGCCAAGACAAAUAAGAUGUAACAUUAAAUGCAACAUCAAAUUAUACAAGUUUUUAAGUGUGAGUUUGUACAAAAGUCUUAAAAUUUUUUAAAAAAUUUAAAAUGAAAGUGUUAUAAAGUGAAUUAAUUGCUUGAAUAAAUAUUUUUAUAAAGAAAUUUUGAAUAUUAAAAUUUGAUGAGAUUAAAAAAAUAACUAUAAUAAAAAAAAUAAUGAUAAUAGAGAUAUAAUAAACAUGAAAGAAAUGCAAUAUACAUGUCGUUAUAUUUGUAAAAAAUGUAUAGAUAAUACUAAUAACAUGAAAAAUAAAAAAUAAAAUUUUAAAAGAAUUUUGUAGUUAGAGUUGAAAACAAUAAAAGUUAUAUAAAAAAUGAAAUAUAAUAAAUUAAUUUAUAACUCAUGUAAUACAAUAAUUGUCUUUAAUUAUUUAAAUGUGUAUAGACACGUAAAUUAACAUUCUUUAAUUAUUUAUAUAUUCAAAAUAUACGUAAAAUACAUAUAAUAUCAUUAAGAUAUCAAAUCAUUAUAAAAUUAAAUUUUUUAUUAAAAAUUUAAUAAAUUUUAAAAAUAUGAAGAAUAAUAUUUAAAGAAGAAUAACAUAUUCAAAAAAUAUCAUAUAUAUAAUAUAUAUUAUAUUAAAAGUAAAGAAUAUAGCUAAAUGUUAAUAUAAAUGUCUGGUGAUGAAAGGUCUCAUGCAAAGUACUACAUAUUGGAAACAACAAGUUCUAUAUAUUUUAAAAAAGAAAGAUGCAAAUAAGCAUUAAAAUAGAGUAGUAAAAUAUUUACUUGCCAAUCAUUCUUUGUAUAAGAUUGGUGUAUGUAAAAUCGUGAGAUAGUAUCAUUGUAUAUGAUACCGUCACUUAAAGCUUGUAAGUAAAUGUUAUCAAUUACCAUUUUUAUUAGUAUUAUGAAAAAUAAAAUCUAUUUUAGAAAUUAAAGUGAUUAUUGAAAAAGCAAAUUUAAGGUAAAAGUUUGUAAAUUAAAAUUUAUUAACAUAUAAUCAACACUUAUAAAUGAGAAAAAUAAAUGUUUUUGUAAAUUUUAACUUUAUACAUCACAAAAUAUAAAAAAGUAAACAUAAAGGUUUGAGAAAAAAUGCAGAGAAAUAUAGUUGGCUCUAAGAAUUUCAUUGAAUUAUUUAUUUUAAUAUAUUCUAUUUGAUCUUAAUUACUAUUUUAAUAUAAUUUAAUAUAUGUCAAUAUUUUGAUUUAAUAAAUUUUCAAAAUUUUAAAUAUUAAAUAACAUUAAAUAUAUAUAUAAAUUAAUUUAUUAUUAUAUUUUUAGAUUAAAUUCCUUAAUAAUUAUUUUUUAUUAUAAUUUAUCUUCCCAACAUCUUUGCUUUUAAAUUUAAACGUAUAUUAUAAUAUUGAUUUUAAUCCUACUAUUACUUUACCUAAUAUCACCUCUAUGAUUAUUUUCAAUCUCAACAGAUGUAAUUUCACUCGCGGUCCAAAUUUAGCCUCAAUAUCCAAGUUGGGAUAGACAAGAUUUUGAAUGAUGGAUCCGAAAUAGCCCUGAAUUGGCUAGAUCCGAUCCCGGCUUUAGAAACAGGUAAAUGGUUUAAAUGGACCGCAUCGAUUAGGCGUGGGUCCGAAAUCAACUUUGGACUUUUGACGGCAAUUUAUCAUUUGAGCCCAGUGCGUAGUUGACUCAUCUGACAAGGAAGCCGCUCAAGGAAGAAGAAUUGGAGCUUUCGGUUUGUGUUUUUAAUGACGAUGAUGAUAAUGAUGAGGGGUUGGAGGAGCUCUUCUCUCUCUUCUUUUUCUUCUGCCUUUGAUCAUCUUCGACAAUUGGGAUCGGGUAACCCUAGAUCUGCCACUUCUCUCUUUUAUUCCCAAAUCUCUUAUUUCUCCACUACCCAUUGCAAGAAGAAACCCAAGUAUGUGUUUGAUCAAAUUGAUGGUGCCUUAAACAAGUAUGAUCAGAUGCUACAAAUGCAUCCACGUCCUUCUAUUGUGGAAUUUAAUCAAUUAUUAGGGGCCAUUGUUAGAAAGAAGUAUUAUGAAACUGCGGUUACUCCGUUGAGAAAAAUGGAAUUGCUAGGAAUUUAUCCUAAUGUUUGUACUUUCAGCAUUUUGAUAAAUUCUUUUUGCCGCUUGCAUCGUUUGGACUAUGGGUUUUCGGUUUUGGGGAAGAUGUUGAAGUUGGGCAUUGAAUCAGAUACUAUAGCACUCUCCACUUUGAUCAAUGGACUUUGCAUUGGAGGUAAAGUAGCUCAAGCUGUGAGGUUGUUUGAUGACAUGGUUCGAGAAGGGUAUCAGCCUAAUUUAAUCAAUUAUAAUACCAUAGUAAAUGGUCUUUGUAAAAUAGGUGACACUACUCGGGCUAUCUAUUGCUAAGGACUAUGGAAGAAAUAAGUUUUGCACCUGACAGUGCAACAUACAGCACUAUCAUCGACAGUCUUUGUAAGGACAAGCAUGUAACCGAGGCUUUGAAGCUUUUCUCAGAAAUGAGAGGUAAAGGCAUUCCACCCGAUGUUGUCACUUAUAAU
rnacentral:lncRNA from 1 species